CCUACGGGAGGCAGCAGUAAGGAAUAUUGGUCAAUGGGCGGAAGCCUGAACCAGCCAUGCCGCGUGCAGGAAGACGGCCUACGGGUUGUAAACUGCUUUUGCAGGGGAAUAUGUACUCUGAGAAUAAGGAUCGGCUAACUCCGUGCCAGCAGCCGCGGUAAUACGGAGGAUCCGAGCGUUAUCCGGAUUUAUUGGGUUUAAAGGGUGCGUAGGCGGCUUUGUAAGUCAGGGGUGAAAGACGGUAGCUUAACUAUCGCAGUGCCUUUGAUACUGCAGGGCUUGAAUGUACUUGAGGUAGGCGGAAUGUGACAAGUAGCGGUGAAAUGCAUAGAUAUGUCACAGAACACCAAUUGCGAAGGCAGCUUACUAAGUUGAUUGACGCUGAGGCACGAAAGCGUGGGGAUCAAACAGGAUUAGAUACCCUUGUAGUC
rnacentral:rRNA from 1 species